UACGUAGGGGGCAAGCGUUGUCCGGAAUCACUGGGCGUAAAGCGCGCGCAGGCGGUCAUCUACGUCUGGGGUGAAAGCCCGGAGCUCAACUCCGGGACUGCCUUGGAUACGGGAUGACUUGAGGAUCGGAGAGGCAAGGGGAAUUCCACGUGUAGCGGUGAAAUGCGUAGAGAUGUGGAGGAACACCUGUGGCGAAGGCGGCAUCCUGGACCGGCAUUGACGCUGAGGCGCGAAAGCUAGGGGAGCAAACGGG
rnacentral:rRNA from 1 species